AGUGUGUGGGCAGUAAGAAAAGAGGUUUGAUUUUCCAAGAGAGAAAAUACCUAGAGGAUUAUUCAAAUAUGUUAUCCCCGCUACAAAGAAGAAGAUGAAAGGAGAGGACGGUUGAAAGUGAAAUGUGCUGGGGGUGCUGCUGAUAGCUGUGUUCCCUGUGGAAGAAACUGCUUUCCUGCAUGUCUCACUCUGGACACUGGAAUUUUGACUCCUCUCUCAUUUACUCACCACUGUAUCAGAUGGUUAGCUGACCACCAAAAACCUGUUGCCUCCUUCAGCUGAUGUGGGACCUUUCCCGGG